ACUUCCUGUAGGGACUGAAAACCAAGUGAGUAGAUGGUGGAUUGCACCGUACUACAGAGAAUACAGAGAGGAUAGACACUGCAGAUAGAUCCUGACCAUCACCCCAGGAAAAAUUGCACAACUGUGGGAAGACAUCCAGUCCCUUUGCAGCAUUGCUAAACAUAGACAAGGUUCGAUAAAUGUGGUGAGAGCUUCAGUCAUUCAUCGAGCCUCAUGAACCACUGACUUAUUCCAACAGGUGAGAGGCUGUUCAAGUGUGAGCUGUGAGAGCGAUCUGCUGAGACACAAGAGAGAACUGUUAUGACCACUGUAACCACAAGGGCAGCUGUAUGGAAGAGAAACCCUUCAAGCGUGAGUUUGGAGAUAAAGAUUUUUUGGCGUCUUCUAACCUCCUGAGACACCAGAAAAAUCAUACUGGGGACAAACCCUUCAGGUGUGAUGUUUGUGAGAUGGCUUUCACACAAUCGUCUGAUCUCCUGAGGCACCAGAGUAUUCACACAGGAAAGAAACUGUUUACGUGCAAAGUGUAUGAUAAACCAUUCUCAGGGUCAUCGUCCCUCCGCCUUCAUCAGCACAUUCAGACCAGGGAGAAACUGUUCAGGUGUGAGGUGUGCAAGAAAUCAUUCUUUGAGGCAUCUAACCUCCGCAAACAUCAACGCAUCCACACCGGAGAGAAGCCAUUCACAUGCGGGGUGUGCGACAAGUCAUUCUCACUGUCAUGGACCCUCCGUGUACACCAACACAUUCACACAGGGGAGAAACCAUUCACGUGCGAGGUGUGCAACAAAUCAUUCUCACAGUCAUCAAACCUGCGUGUACACCAACAGAUUCACACAGGGGAGAAACCAUUUCCAUGUGGAUUAUGCAACAAAUCAUUCCCGAGUUCAUCGCAAUUCCUCAUGCACCAGCACAUACACACUGGAGAGAAACCAUUCACGUGUGAUGUGUGCAACAAAUCAUUCUUGAACUCGUCGUCCCUUCAUCAACACCAACGCAGUCACACAGGUGAGAAACCAUUCACAUGCGAGGUCUGCAACAAAGCAUUCUCGCAGUCAUCGAACCUCCACGUACACCAACGCAGUCACACAGGGGAGAAACCAUUUACUUGCGAGGUGUGCAACAAAUCAUUCUCACAGUUCGCAAACCUCCGCAUACACCAGCGCAUCCACACAGGGGAGAAACCAUUCACAUGCGAGGUGUGCGACAAGUCAUUCUCACGGUUGGCGAGCUUCCGCAUACACCAACGCAUUCACACAGGGGAGAAACCAUUCACAUGUGAGGUGUGUGACAAGUCAUUCUCGCGGUUAGUGAGCCUCCGCAAACACCAACACAUUCACACAAGGAAGAAACCAUUCACUUGCAAGAAUGCAACAAAUCUUUCACACAGUUAAUGACCCUCCAUGGACACCAACGCAUUCAUACUUGGGGAAAGCCAAUCAUGUGUGGUGUGGAACAAAUCAUUCUCCAAGUUAUUGACCCUCCACACACAUCAAUGCAGUCACACGGGAGAAACCAUUCACAUGUAGGUUAUGCAAGUCAUUCUUGAAUUUAUUGCAAUUCCUCAUGCACCAAUACAAACAUACUGGGGAGAAAACACUCACGUGCAAGAUGUGCAACAAAUCAUUCUUAAACUCAUCAUCAUUCCAAACACACCAACGCAUUCACACAGGACAGAAACCAUUCACAUGCAAGGUGUGCGACAAAUCUUUCUUGCAGUCAUCGAACCUCCAAUCUCACCACUGCAUUCACACCAGGGAGAAUCCAUUCAUAUGUAAGGAGUGCAAUAAAUCAUUCUUGCAGUUAGCGACCUUCUGCAACCACCAACGCAUUCACACGGGAGAAACCAUUUACAUGUGAGGUGUGCGACAAAUCAUUCUCUCAAUUAACGAGCCUCUUGGUCCAUUGGAGGAUUGACACAGGAGAAGACCUUCAGAUGUGAGGUGUGUGACAAAGCUUUCACACAGUCAGUGGAUCUUCUAGUCCAUCAAUGCACUCACACAGGGGAGAAACCCUAUCAGUGUGAAUUGUUAAGCCUGCACAACUGGAACAUCAAAUCCACAUGGGAUUCAUCUCCUGAGACACCAGAGGAUCCACACAUGGGAGAAACUCUUCAGAUGUGAGGUGUGUGACCAAGCCUUCACACAGACAGCAAACUUCUGCAUACACCAGCCUAUAUACAUAAAGGAGUAACCCACUAAUUGUAAGUUAUCUGGUAAAGCUUUCUUGAUAACUUUGACCCUCCUUGGACACCAGCAGAAACUCUUCAGGUGCAAUGUUUGUGCCCAAUCCUCCGAUCUGGUGAACACCAGUUGGCGAGAAAUCAUUCAGCCCUCCCAUCUUUGGUGACUCACCCAUGGAUUCUGCUACAGGCACUGGGGGAUAGACUGGAGGGUAUCAGCUGCUAAUGUGGAUUCAUGGUUGAGCAGUUGUUCAAAAUCUUCUUUCCAGCCUUAACAGAUGGCAUUUUCAUCCUUUAGAAGAGAAACACCAUCCUGUGAACAAAGGGGACUUUGUCCAUUUGACCUCGGUCGAUAGAUGACACUGAUUUGUCUUUGAGCAUCAGCCUUGAGAUGUUGAAAUGCUGCCUUCUUGAGUUGUGACUUUGGGUUGCUCUGCCAGGCAAUGGAGGCCGAUAGUUUUCAUUCCAGAUGGGGAUCACGUAUUUGAGGGUCAUGUUUGUCGAACCAGUCCCGGCGAUGACGAUGCUCAAACCCAGUGGUCUGGACACAGGAGUUUAGUACAGCUGACUUAAUUUGAUCACACUAUUUGGAAAUUGAGUUGGAUGUGUGAAGAUUUUCCAGAUUGGUCAUGAGCUGCCCCUGGAAUUCCUCCCUUUGGUCGGGCUGUUUUAGGGCCGAGACAUUGAGCUUCUUCCUCUUGGACUUCUGGUCCUUGUGAUGUCUUAGAGCUGGGUGGAUAUUCAUCAGUGAUCGAACAAGUCGAUGAUCUGUCCAGCAGGCAUCAGUCCCCCACAUGGAUCCAGUGAUACAGACAUCACUUACAACUUUGACUUGGCUUUAGACCUUCCAUGUAUUUUUUAAUUCAUUCGCGGAUGUGGGCUUCACGGGCUGGGCCAGCUUUUAUUGCCCAUCCCUAGUUGCCCUUGAUAGGUGUUGGUGAGAUGCUUUCUUGAACUGCUGCAGUCCAUGUGGUACCUACUAAGGUCGGUGUCACUUCUGAUCAUCGGAAUUGGGAGCCAGAUUUAAGCACAGGGAUUUUAAAGAAACUUUUGUCUGCAGUGUUCUGAGGGAGUUUCCCCUGAUGUGAAGAGUGUGAGUGUGUGUUAGUAAAGUAAGCCAGCUCUCAGGAGUGGGUUUGGGGUAGAAUCAGACCUUGCUUUAGUUUGGUGAUGUGGAUUAUAGACAGAUCCUCUUCAGCUGUUGGGUGUUUGACUAAUACCAUGGGUAAUGUUUGUACUCUCCUGUCUGGGAGGAUUACUAUCCUGAGUAUGGUGAGGGAGUUGGGGUGAGUCUCUACAGAUCUGAGUUCCCUCAGCCCAUCAUACCUCGAUGUAAUAACAGUGUGAUAUGUUCACCUUAUACUCUUCCAAGAUUCAUUUCAUGUUCUGGGAAAGAUCUUGAGUCAUUUUCAAAUUUAUUCUUUUGGUUGAUUCAAAGUUUGGUUGAAGCUGAAUAUUGUGUUGUUGUUUGUCUGCUGUUUUAACAAUCCUCUGUAUAUAUUUUUAACUCAUAAUAAAUUCACUUUUUUAACUUAACCAAACCAA